GACUUUUCUAUUCUAAUGUUCUCAAAGUUCUACCAUGAUGUUUGCCACCUGGAAGAAGACAUGCUUUCAUUCUUGCUUUGGAUGGACAGUUCAACAGCUAGAGCUCAAGUCAAGACUCAAGAUCCUGAUGUCAUGUUAAAACAUUUUAGAUUAAUAAACAGUUGUUGGACUAUCAGGGCUAGUUAGAUCUUCUCACAGAGCGAAGUUGAGAUAUUCACCCAGUUCAUCACCGCCAAGAACUGCCAGAAUGGCUUUUUAAGGCUAGAGCUCUUGUCCAAUAUCAGCACAAACAUGUGUCAUUAGCAAAAGGGGACUUUGUCAAGAUUUUGGAAAAUUCUGAUGCUGAAAGAUGGAAGAUGGAAUAGAAAGUGAAGUCCCUGCUAUUGUGUUGGUCAUUCCUUCCUGCUUCCAACAGAUUGAUAAAUUAGGAGAACAAAUCAAGGUCAAUAGUUAUAUUGCUGCUGAUAAAUGGUCACAUUUAAUCCAGUUUUUAAGUGCUGCUAUUUCCCAGACACAGUCCAAAGAUUUAUGUUUUUCCUGCUGAAGAUGAUGAAUGAGGCAGCAGACAUCUUGAAAGGAGCUGUUUUUGAGUUACUUCAACAGUCUUUUCAUUUUAUUUAGGAAGAAGCUCAUCAGUCACUUCAAACCAGGUGAUGAUGGAGUCAUAAACAGUAGGAUACAGAGGUGGAACAAAACUGGAGCUUUAGUUUGUUUGUUUGUAGAACUUGGCAUCUACUCCAGACAUUAUUCUGAAGAACACUCAAGUAAAAGAAAAGAAGAAAUGUUAAAGGUUAAGGACUUGGGCUCCAAUCAUACUUACACUUCAAAAGCUUUAAUUUGAAAGGUCUUAUAUUUUUGUGGAAAUAAAUUUUACUAGUGGAGUUUUUGUAGCUGCAAGAGUGGAUCAAGGUGGAUGUGAUAUCUAUUUAUAAACAUGUAUACCAGUAUAUUGUAAUCAGUGAUUUUCAUUUUUUGGUAACAGUUUGUUUCCAUUUAGAUUGCAGUCUUUCUUAUGUGAAAACAAGAUGUCUGCAUAAUCUUAGAGGACAUUUUUAAACUCAUUUAAAUUUAUUAGAUGAAAUAUUUAUAAAACAUACAAUGUAAAUUGUUUUGUAAAAUGAUUAUACAUUUGAGUUCAUAAAAAUGUGUAAUUUUUUAAUGGCAUCAUGUUUCUGCUUAUCUGUAUCUGAUACUGAUGAUGUGUUUUCUAAAUCUAUUACUGCUUCACCAUUGAGGAAAAACUGCACAUGUUUAAACCCAUAUCUGAAGUAACUUUCCAGAAAAAAAAAGAUGUAUGUUGGACAGUGUCCAAAAUUUCAAAUCAUUUCCUUCAAAAUGUUAUCAAUUUCCUCCAUAACUUCAUAACAUUAUUGAAUUUUUUUCCUUCAGAACACAAUUGUAAAUUAUCUUUUUUUUUUUUUUUUUUUUUGUUAAACCACAAUGAGAGUCUAAUAACUAAUAGUCUAGCAAACAAUUACUUAUAAUUUGCCUUAUUAUUAUACAAUAUUAAGAUUUACUUCUGCAGGGAUGAAAAACUUUUUUUAAAAUACAAUAGACAUGUAUAAUAAUAAAGUACAUUCACACCUGACUCACUCAUAAUUUACAUGUGAAAAGUUUAUAUCAGAUUGUUUCUAUUUAAUGAUUUGAUUGCCAUCAGUGUCUUGUAUCUCUUUUGUGAUGGUAAAGUCACAAAAUGUAGGAAACCCCACUGUGUUUGGUCCAGUAUGUGGGUUAUUAUAUGUAAGUCUAUUGUAUUUUCUAUAUUAUUUUACAAAUGUAAAAAAAAUAAAAAGAAAUUGUUACACUGUU